UCCCACAUUGCCUAGACUUUGACCCCUAAACCUCUUUUCCACCUAUAAAUAUAGACCGAUAGAGCCUCCAAAAAUCAUCCGAUUCGGGUUAAAUCAAUAUUUUAGUUUGACUAGAUUCCAUAAAGAAAAAUAUAUUUUUUCCUCCCCGGCGUGAUUUUUGGGAAUUGUCUCCUCUCUCUGCUUUAUAAAGGUAUCUUUCUUUGUUUUUUUCUUUUUAUACUUUCGUAGUUUAUUAUUUCUAGACUAAUACGAUAGAAUAAUUAGAUUAUCAAGUAGUCUAUGUAUUCAUACAGUAGACCUUAGCCGUAGCUAUUUUUCUUCCGUAAAACAGCUUGGGCCUGAUUUUUCAAAUAGCCAUAACUUUUCACUCAUUUAUCGAAAUUAGAUGAAACCAGCGCCUAUAGCUUCGUCUUGUUUUCACCUAUCCAAUGAACCUGUCACAUCAACUUUUUGAAACUUUCAAAUUUCGAAAUUUGUUCGGAAAUUUGUUUAGAUUCAUAUUCAAACUUCGUUUGAUCGUAACUUGAGUUUCGUAGCUCCGUUUGAGUUGAUUCUUUUUGCAAACCGAAGCUCUUGACCUAAACUUUCUGAUAAGGCCAAAUUCACAUAAUUUUGGUACUGUUAGAAAUUGUUUUAUGUUGCAAGAGUUAUUUGCUUGGUUUUGAUGUUUUCCGAAGUGUCUUCUUCGUUCUUUUCCGAUAUUUUGAGUGAUUGCUUAUGUGUGGUUACUAUUGCUUGCUUACGAUAGAUUGACCGGAGUGUGACGAGUAGAACUAUCAAGAGUUUUGUGUCCGAAUCAUCUUCAUCAACAUUGCAGGCAAGUUCACACUUUGAUCAUAUCCCUUUCAUACCCAGUUUUUAUGCAUUAGUUUCACCCUCAAACAUUGCAUGAGUAGGAUUGAUAACAUGUGGGUAUUGGGAAGUAGUUGACGAGGUAGGAACCUAUUGCCAUGCAUUCAAACCUUGGGAGUUACUAUUACGUUAUGCUUAUACUGCUAUGCUAUGCUCGUAGACGUGGUUGGGUUUGAGAAUAUUCAUGACAGAUGUGAGAUUGUUAAUUAAUGGUUCAACUUAAGGUGGCAACUUGAAUACACAUCUGGGUGGAUUGAGGCACCUGGGGAAUUCCAGUGAUUGCCUGUAUUUUUUGGAAAUCCCGGGGGUACCGUGUGAUUCUCCUAUGGACUGCCACCCAGGCUCAAAGGGAUCAUGAGAUUAUUCAUACUAGAAACUUCCGUGUGCAGCCACAAGCUAUUAUGGGCUCUAGCAUAGUUGAUUAAGUCGUGUGAACUCUUACAGUGGUAGACUAGCAGAUGUAGGGGAAAGUAGGUGUAACUGUGGAAAAGUGCGCAAACCUCUGCAGAGUGUACAAACUAAUCAUGAUUAGCCGUGUCCCCGGUUAUGGACAUCUUGAGUAUCUGGUUCUUGGAUUAUCCUGUUGAUCUCAUCACGUUACUUAAAUAAUUUGUUGGGUUGUUAACUUGUUAAUUGGGAUUGAGAGGGGUUUACCUUCUCAAUGUUUUCAACAAACUUUGUAGUUAAAUAAAAUAUAUUCCUUUGCAGUAGGGAAAUAUUGGCUUUUCGCAAAAACAUUAUAACCAUAGAGCUUUUCCACCAGCCAUAUAUGCAUGUAGUGAUAGCCAUUAUUCAUCAUUGCUCUACAGUGUGAAUUUGCCAGUACAUUCAAUGUACUGACCCUUUGUGGCUACAACGUCUCAUGUUGCAGGACUUCUUACGACGAGUAAGUGAUACGUUAGGGUUACGAUUUCUACACUCAACUUUGCCGUUGGUGUUGAUGGGAAUCCACAACCUUGUUACUUCCGCUAUUUGGAUUGAGGUAAUAGUAUUUACGUUACUUUAUACAUGCGAUUUACCUCUGUUAUAAAUCCUCUAGUACUGUGUGUGUCAGCAUACCGAUCCAGGGAUGACACUUAAGCACAGAGACUUGACCGUCUGAGGUCGGGUCGGUACAAGAUGGUAUCAGAGCACAUGUUGACUGUAGGACGUGACCCUAGAAACUGGCAUGCCCAUAGGAAGGAUUUUCUCUAAAACUUUCCUUUUCAAAAAGAUCUUUUACCUCUCUUCUUUUCUGAGUCUUAUUCAAAUAUUCCCUUUUAGUGAGACCAUACCCCUUUUCCCUUUUGACCACACGAAGAUUCAACUGAAGAGACCACUCCAAGAAGUACAAGAUAUCGGACAACUAAGACCAUUCGGAAUGAAGAGGAUUUUACCAUACACUAUGAUAAUGGAAACUACAGUGGUUGAAGACUCCGAAGACUAGGAGAUUUUGAAGGCUCUGAAGAAUUCCCAGAUUUUUUAUGACCUAGGAAUGUCUACCCUUAUGGAAGUUGGCAGACUAUGGAAGCCGUCAAUGCCCGAGAUCAAGGUGUAUCGGAGAAAGACUGGAACGUGGAGCAUUAGAAAACAAAGUUUUGUCAAGGAAAACCCUAAGGCAGGAGAUAUCAACUAUGGAGAAAUAGCUCAUGGAAAUGACAAGAGCAGAAACGCGGCUAUCCAUGAUGUUAUCGCCCGCUUAUGCUAUUGUCACCGUGCCAAGUUAAGCAUGCAUAUGCAUGGAAGGAUUGGAUGGUAGAAGGCUGAUGGAGUACCUAUCAGCAAGAUGAAGUUUUAACUUUAGACCGGUGUAUCACCAGGAUCUGGAGUAUUACAUCAAGAAGUUUAGGAUGGACCUGCAGGAAGCUGUAUUUAACAAAGAAGUGUUUCGUGAAGAACUCAGAACCCAGAAACUGAAAGUAGCCAAGCUGGGAAAGCAAAACCUCGAGAUAACGGAGACUCGUCAGGAACUGAAGGACAGUAGUACCAUGGUUCAUGCCAAGGAUGUUGAGACCCAGAAGUUUGGAACGCAAUUAUUAAAGGACGCCAUGAGAGACUUCGCGUCAACAGAGAGGGUCUGGCAAAAGAACUUGAGAAGGACAAGCAUGAUCGGAAGAAGCCCAUCGGAGACAUGAACAAGACUUCAAGAGUUUGGCGACUUUGAAGAUUUUUGACCUCUAGAAGACCCAACCCCUGUUAUAUGCCUACGUUAGAUGCGACGUUUGUGAGCUGUCAUUUGUUUGAUGUUUUUCUGACAGCCACGAUAAAAAUUUGUCUUUUCAAAAAAUUUGUUUGUAUUGUGUGCAUCCCUCUCGAUCUCUCUUAUCCCACCGCAAACCCAUGGACCCAAUAGAGGAUGAAUGAAGAUGAGCUUGUAUUUUCUGGACUGAUAAGUCAAUUGGAGACGGACCGAUGGAUUCAGAACAUGGAGGAUCACAUGGAGAAUAACCCUAUAGCCGGAAAGGAUAUGACCCAGCAUGCUCUUGAGUGCUUUGAAAGAGGUGCCACUACCUGGUAGAGGACGUACCAAACCAUCAAUGGAUGGCAAGGAGUAACCACUUGGAAAGAAUUUAAGUUGACUUUGCCAAAGUCUUGGCUUGUGUCCCAGAAAUUGAGGCCUUAUGGAAAGGAUAUGAAGAAACCUUGUGCAUACAAGCUUUGUGGAGAAAUAAGACACAACCAUAAAGAAAACAAGGACGAAUACCCUCAUAAGCGGAGGAAUGCCAAAGGAGUGAGCCGAGGAUCUCAGGGAACUUCGGUUGGAGAUUGUUCCCAAGGGUUUUAUUGCAGUAAUGGAAGUUCAGUCUACAUUGUUGGGAAAGAUCCGUGAAGCUCAGAAGAAUGACAAAGAGAUUGCUGAGGUAAAACAGAGGAUGAGCAAAGGAAAGGCCAAAGAUUUUCGUAAGGAUGAGCACGACACCUUAUGGUUCGAGGACCGUGUAAAUGUGCCCAAUAAUGCAAAGUUCAGGAAGUUAAUACUUCAGGAGGCUCAUGACUCACCAUACUCGAUUCGCCCUGGAAAAACCAAGAUGUAUUUGGAUUUGAAGGAGCGUUUCUGGUGGACUGGUAUGAAGAAGGAUAUUGUGGAGUAUGUAGUCGUAGGUGAUGUAUGCCAGAGAGUAAAGGCAGAGUAUCAGAAGCCAGCCGGAUUACUACAGCCUAUGCCGAUACCCGAAUGGAAGUAGGAUAAGCUUGGCAUGGAUUCCAUUACCGGAUUUCCCAGAACCCGAUCGGGAUAUGAUUCUAUCUGGGUAGUAGUUGAUUCGCUUGACCAAAGUGGCUCACUUUAUCGCAGUGAAAACCACCUAUACAAGUGCGAAGUUGGCCAAGAUAUAUAUGACCAGGACCGUAUGUCUGCAUGGAGUUCCGAGGACCAUCGUAUCAGAUAGAGGAACACAAUUUACCUCAAAGUUUUGGAAUUAGCUGCACCAGACUUUGGGUGCUAGGCUAGAGUUCAGUAUAGCCUUUCAUCCGCAGACAGAUGGAUAGACCGAGAGAGUCAAUCAGAUUCUGGAGGACAUGUUGAGAGCGUGUGCGCUAGAUUAUGGAUCUAGUAGGGAUGAUAAUCUACCUUACGCGGAGUUCUCAUACAACAACAGUUACCAAGCCAGUUUGAAGAUGGCCCCUUUUGAAGUUUUGUAUGGGAGAAGGACCAGACACCGUUAAUGUGGGAUGAAGUUGGAGACCGUCAGUUGUUUGGACCAAAUGUGAUCAAGGAGUCAGAAGAGAAUGUUAAGUUGAUUUGAGAUAGACUGAAGGUAGCUCAGUCCAGGCAGAAGAGUUAUGCAGACUAAAAAACGCAAGGAGGUAGUCUAUGAAAUUGGAGACAGAGCAUGUCUUCGUGUGUCCCCUCUGCGAGAAGUUAAACGAUUUGGAGUUAAGGGAAAGUUAGCCCCGAGAUUUGUAGGACCAUACCGAGUUUUGGAGCGUAUGGGAGAAGUGGCCAACAAGUUGGAGUCACCCGAAGGACUGUCAGGAGUUCAUGAUGUAUUUCACGUUUCCCAGUUGAAGAAGUGCCAUGCAGAGAUGGCCAAUAUUCCCCCGUAAGGAUGCUUGACGCUAGAAAGGAUAAUGAUGUUCCACGAAGUGGAGUAUGGACUUCAUAAGUAUAAGUUUUUAUCUCGGUAUGUGGGAUAUCCCACGAGGAUGAAGAGAUAAAUUACUAUUGGAUAUAAAGGAGGUAUGAUGUUGGAAAUAUUGAUCAAUGGAAAUUCCAUGAUGAGUCUGAGUAAACAUGUCCUAGUUUGGUGCCAAUAGAAGGAAAGGAGACAAUAAAAUUGGAUGGAUUUAAGAAUGCUGGAAGCUGGAUGUUGGAAUAAUGAUCAGUUGCUCGAUGAUAAGUUCAAUGACUACAAGUGAUGAGAUGGGCCAUAACCCACAGGCCCCAGGACCUGCCAAGAAGCAAGCACAUUCUUGCUGAAGGAAAAACCCUGGAAGAAGUUACAAUUUUAUCAACAGACGAUCUUAUAGGAAUUAACGCGAAACCUGAGAGUUGUGCAGAAACGAUAGAUGUUUGUUUGGCUUGCAGAAUCAAUGGAUUUAUCCGAACCUAGUUCGUCGACAAGAGAAAUUCUGCAAUGCUUGCGAGGAUGACCGAGUGUUAGAAUGCGAGAUUCACUAAACCAUAUACAGGGUAAUGAUUUGGGUGCGGGAUGGACUGAUCACCAUACCGACUUACUCUUAUUGUUCGCUUUGCUAUAUGGGAUGGUAAAUCUGAGUGACUUGCCUAUAGUAGAGAGACAACGAGCAAAACCUUGUUUGAACCUUAGAAUGGUGUAAGUAUUUUUCCCCUUGUACAAGGCAGCUCUUGCCAAUCGUAGGUUAUACGGUGAGGAUCAACCCAGACCCAUUUCCUGCAGGAGAAACCAUAAUUGGAAGACCACCAUGAGAUAUCGAUAGUUGUUUAGUAUUGGCGCCUGACCGUCAGCUAAGAAGACCCAGUCUCGGAACAACCUUACCAAGAAAAAGGACAGAAGAAUUGAGGUAAAGAUUAUGCCACUACCGGAAGAGCCCAGAGAAGGAAUUUUCCGAGAAUCUGAGAAGACUGACACUGUCAAAGAUAAGGAUGGAGUAUAUGAGUUUUGAUGGAACAGUAACAAUGCUUCUAAGGGUGGUAGCACCCCAGACCCCCUGUGAUGAUCGAUGGAUUUUGAGAAGACCCCAAACCUAACCUAUUUCUUGCUAGCCUCUCCAAAUCUCGAGGACGAGAUUCAUUUUAAGGGUGGUAGGUUUGUAACAUCCCAAAAUUCUAAAUUUUGGAAUGUUAUAAUAACCAGAUAGAUUGGAUUGAUUGUUUGAUUGAUUGACUGAAAGUGAGUGAAUUCGAAAUCUUUUGAAAGUUAAAUGAGAGGGAAUAAAAGGACUUUCCCAAACUUUCAUUUUGCUUUUAUGAUCUCCAUGAAUUCAAAUUCUUUUCAUCACAAAACCCUGGAGAGAAGAUGACAUGACUUUUUCCAUUUAUUUAAAUGAAAAGGGGUGUUGAAAAUAUUUGAAUAUCAUUUGAAAAUAUUUCCAAUUCAGAAACUUCAAGCAACUCAAUGAUUUUCAUGAGAGAAGAUAAAAUGACUUCUUCAAAACAUAUGAAAUAUGAGUUGGAAGUUUAAAAGGAUCUAAUUUAAAGUCCUUUUGGAGAUUAUUUUCAAUUUGGAGUAUUUGGGUUUUAUUCAAAUUAUUUUUCUCCAAAAUAAAAAUAUAUGGAAAAUAGGGUAACAUGAUUCCUUACAAUAGAAAAUUGGAGAAAAAUUAAUUUGAAAUCAUUUUGGGUAUUUUUAAAAUGAUUUUUAUGAGGUUUUUUUGCAGCAGUAGCACUCUUUACUUUAUCUGAAUUUUUGUAUAUUUUAUUUGACGCUAGAAAAAUAUUCAUGUUGUAGAAAAUCUUUUUCUGAAAAUUGUGAUAUAUAAUAUGCCUAUAUAAAUAUUUUAUUUUAUUUUUCUUUAUUCGGUUUUCCUUCUGUUUCUAUUUAAAAACAAAUAACAAAAACUGUACAUGUGGCCCAUCACUAACUGCCGCCCAGGUGCACAUCAUAGUACCAGCAGGCGCCCCAUCUUUUUUUUUCUUUUCCUAUAUGCGCCAGGCCCAGCCAGCAUUUUCAUUUUUUUUCUUAGGCCGAAUUUUGUUAAAAAAAACUGCAGCUGCGCGGCCGGCCGAACCGCCUUACGCGUUUAGGCCCAUGCGACGCGCUUUCGUUUUCUUUUCAUCUACGUACGUAUAUAUUUAGUUCCACAUUGCCUAGACUUUGACCCCUAAACUUCUUUUCCAUCUAUAAAUAUAGACCCAUAGAGCCUCCAAAAAUCAUCCGAUUCAGGUUAAAUCAAUGUUUUGGUUUGACUAGAUUCUUUAAAGAAAAAUAUUUUUUUCCUCUCCGGCGCGACUUUUGGGAAUUGUCUCCUCUCUGCCUUAUAAAGGUAUCUUUCUUUGUUUUUUUCUUUUUAUGCUUCCGUAAUUUAUGAUUUCUAGACUAAUACGAUGGAAUAAUUAGAUUAUCAAUUAGUCUACGUAUUUAUACAUUAGACCUUAGCCAUAGCUAUUUUUCUUCCGUAAAACAGCUUAGGCCUAAUUUUUCAAAUAGCCAUAACUUUUCACUCGUUUAUCCAAAUUAGAUGAAACCAGCGCCUAUAGCUUCGUCUCGUUUUCACCUAUCCAAUGAACCUGUCACAUCAACUUUUUGAAACUUUCAAAUUUCGAAAUUUGUUCGGAAAUUUGUCCAGAUUCAUAUUCAAACUUCGUUUGAUCGUAACUUGAGUUUCGUAGCUCCGUUUGAGUUGAUUCUUUUUGCAAACCGAAGCUCUUGACCUAAACUUUCUG
rnacentral:lncRNA from 1 species